rnacentral:tRNA from 1 species
UCCUCGAUGGUCUAACGGUCUAUGAUUUCCGCUUGUCACUCUUACGAGAACGAGCGCGGGAGACCUGGGUUCGACUCCCAGUCGGGGAG